rnacentral:rRNA from 1 species
AUGGAAUUUCAUGCUUACACAGCAGAGCAGAAUCCAAUUGUAAGAAAAGUUGUGGCCCAUAAUGCUCCAGGUAAUAAUCAGUUGACUUCUUCGAAGAUUCAGAAGGACAUAGCUGAAUGUUUUGCAAAGAAAAUAUUACAUUCGGUUCUUCAGGAAAAUGGAAAUGAUGUAGUUUCUUUGUUGGUUGAUGAGUCGAGGGAUGUGGCUGGUAAAGAGCAAAUGGCAGUGGUAUUGCGGUAUGUUGGUAAAUGUGGAAGUGCCAUAGAGACAUUAGUUGGCCUUACUCAUGUGAAGGAGACAACCUCCAAGUAUCUCAAGUCUGCCAUUGAUGACUUAUUUGCAGAAUAUAAAUUAAGUUUCAAGAAAGUUAGAGGUCAAGGAUAUGACGGUGCUAGCAAUAUGAGAGGUGAGUUCAAUGGCUUGCAAUCCUUAAUAAUGAGAGAGAACCCCACGGCAUAUUACGUUCACUGUUUUGCACAUCAGCUUCAGUUAGUUGUUGUGGCUGUUGUUCAUAAGCAUAAAUGCAUUAGUAAUUUUUUUGAUAUGAUCUCGGUCUUGUUGAAUGUUGUCUCUGGAUCAUCAAAAAGAAAAGACAUGAUUCGAGACAGAUAUAAAGAACAAGUGUGUGAAGCUUUAGGUUGA